rnacentral:rRNA from 1 species
AGUGAACGCUGGCGGCGUGCCUAAUACAUGCAAGUCGAACGAAGUGGCGCACGGGUGAGUAAUAUAUAGUUAAUCUGCCCUACACAGAGGAACAACAGUUGGAAACGGCUGCUAAUACCUCAUAGUGUAGGAUGAGACUAUAUCGUAUCAGCUAGUUGGUAAGGCUAUGGUUUACCAAGGCGAUGACGAGUAACUGGUCUGAGAGGAUGAUCAGUCACCUUGGAACUGAGACACCGUCCAGACUCAUUCGGGAAGCAGCACGAACGUAUAUUGCGCAAUGGGGGAGUCCCUGACGCAGCAUCGCCGCGUGGAGGAUGACACGUUUCGGGGCGUAAACUCCUUUUAACAGGAAAGCGGUACCUGAUGAAUAAGCACCGGCUAACUCCGUGCCAGCAGCCGCGGUAAUAC